rnacentral:rRNA from 1 species
ACGCGUGAGGAACCUGCCUCAAAGAGGGGGACAACAGUUGGAAACGACUGCUAAUACCGCAUAAGCCCACGACCCGGCAUCGGGUAGAGGGAAAAGGAGCAAUCCGCUUUGAGAUGGCCUCGCGUCCGAUUAGCUAGUUGGUGAGGUAACGGCCCACCAAGGCAACGAUCGGUAGCCGGACUGAGAGGUUGAACGGCCACAUUGGGACUGAGACACGGCCCAGACUCCUACGGGAGGCAGCAGUGGGGAAUAUUGCACAAUGGGGGAAACCCUGAUGCAGCGACGCCGCGUGGAGGAAGAAGGUCUUCGGAUUGUAAACUCCUGUUGUUGAGGAAGAUAAUGACGGUACUCAACAAGGAAGUGACGGCUAACUACGUGCCAGCAGCCGCGGUAAAACGUAGGUCACAAGCGUUGUCCGGAAUUACUGGGUGUAAAGGGAGCGCAGGCGGGAAGACAAGUUGGAAGUGAAAUCCAUGGGCUCAACCCAUGAACUGCUUUCAAAACUGUUUUUCUUGAGUAGUGCAGAGGUAGGCGGAAUUCCCGGUGUAGCGGUGGAAUGCGUAGAUAUCGGGAGGAACACCAGUGGCGAAGGCGGCCUACUGGGCACCAACUGACGC